UAGGGAAUCUUCCGCAAUGGACGCAAGUCUGACGGAGCAACGCCGCGUGAGUGAAGAAGGAUUUCGGUUCGUAAAACUCUGUUGUUAGAGAAGAACAGCGCAUAGAGUAACUGUUAUGCGUGUGACGGUAUCUAACCAGAAAGCCACGGCUAACUACGUGCCAGCAGCCGCGGUAAUACGUAGGUGGCAAGCGUUGUCCGGAUUUAUUGGGCGUAAAGCGAGCGCAGGCGGUCAAUUAAGUCUGAUGUGAAAGCCCCCGGCUCAACCGGGGAGGGUCAUUGGAAACUGGUUGACUUGAGUGCAGAAGAGGAGAGUGGAAUUCCAUGUGUAGCGGUGAAAUGCGUAGAUAUAUGGAGGAACACCAGUGGCGAAGGCGACUCGCUGGACUGUAACUGACGCUGAGGCUCGAAAGCGUGGGUAGCAAACAGG
rnacentral:rRNA from 1 species